rnacentral:rRNA from 1 species
UACGUAGGGUGCGAGCGUUAAUCGGAAUUACUGGGCGUAAAGCGUGCGCAGGCGGUUAUAUAAGACAGAUGUGAAAUCCCCGGGCUCAACCUGGGAACUGCAUUAGUGACUGUAUAGCUAGAGUGCGGCAGAGGGGGAUGGUAUUCCGCGUGUAGCAGUGAAAUGCGUAGAUAUGCGGAGGAACACCGAUGGCGAAGGCAAUCCCCUGGGCCUGCACUGACGCUCAUGCACGAAAGCGUGGGGAGCAAACAGG